AUUGAACGCUGGCGGCAGGCCUAACACAUGCAAGUCGGACGGUAGCACAGAGGAGCUUGCUCUUCGGGUGACGAGUGGCGGACGGGUGAGUAAUGUCUGGGGAUCUGCCCGAUAGAGGGGGAUAACCACUGGAAACGGUGGCUAAUACCGCAUAACGUCGCAAGACCAAAGAGGGGGACCUUCGGGCCUCUCACUAUCGGAUGAACCCAGAUGGGAUUAGCUAGUAGGCGGGGUAACGGCCCACCUAGGCGACGAUCCCUUGCUGGUAUGAGAGGAUGAACAGCCACACUGGAACUGAGACACGGUCCGGGCUCCUACGGGAGGCAGCAGUGGGGAAUAUUGCACAAUGGGCGCAAGCCUGAUGCAGCCAUGCCGCGUGUAUGAAGAAGGCCUUCGGGUUGUAAAGUACUUUCAGCGGGGAGGAAGGCGAUGUGGUUAAUAACCGCGUCGAUUGACGUUACCCGCAGAAGAAGCACCGGCUAACUCCGUGCCAGCCGCCGCCGUAA
rnacentral:rRNA from 1 species